GACGAACGCGGCGGCGUGCUUAACACAUGCAAGUCGAACGGGCCCGCCCCUGUUUUUUGGGGGUGGGUUGAGUGGCGAACGGGUGAGUAUCACGUGAGUAACCUGCCCCCUGCUCCUGGAUAACUGCUUGAAAGGGCGGCUAAUACGGGGUGUGCCGGCUGGUCCGCAUGGGCCUGGUCGGGAUAGUUUCAUCUUCGGGUGUUUCGGUGGGGGAUGGGCUCGCGGCCUAUCAGCUUGUUGGUGGGGUGAUGGCCCACCAAGGCGGUGACGGGUAGCCGGCCUGAGAGGGUGGGCGGCCACACUGGGACUGAGACACGGCCCAGACUCCUGCGGGAGGCAGCAGUGGGGGGUAUUGCACAAUGGGCGGAAGCCUGAUGCAGCGACGUCGCGUGAGGGAUGGAGGCCUUCGGGUUGUGAACCUCUUUCUCCGGUGGUGAAGGCCCUGUCCGUUGCGGCGGGGUUGACGUAG
rnacentral:rRNA from 1 species